GGCCUGGUGGUGUAACGGGCAUACCUGCUUCUUAUAAGAGUUGGGUAAACCAGCGUUAGCAUGAGGACCUCGUUCGAUUCGGGGCUAGGCCA